rnacentral:tRNA from 1 species
GGCCCAGAGGUAUAAGCACACCGAAUUGCAAGCUCGGAGACGCGCCCAUGACGCGCCUGGGCUU